CUCUUGUUCUACUGCUGUGCUGGAAAAGUGAGGAGGAGCCACAGCAGCAGCCCUGUGCAAUCCUGUGCCUGCCACAAACACUCACACGCUGGCUACUAAAGCCUGCUCCUUGACGUGGAAAUGUGGUCACAUCAUGUGGCUUUGGGGGGGUGGAUGAAGCAACCAGAAACUCAUGUGUAAGGGAAUGGGAAUUUGAUAAAUGGGAGGAGAAAUCUUGAAAGUGCCACUAAAGGACACACAGCACUCCCAUACACCUUGCAUUUCUGCUUUUGGCUAAGUUGCCAUCCAGAUACUCAAUUUCAUCUUUUUAUUAGAAAAUAAGCACUACCUUUUGCUGGAGGCCUGGGCGAUUUCUCCACCACGUGGCUGGUACCUGGAAUACUGCGGACUUCCUCUGUGUGCACAGGUAUACAGCCGUGCUCUACAGAAAGGGUCAGGAGUCAAUGAACCUCGUGCAGCUGUUAACUCUUUCCUCUUUUGGUCUCAGUGUAUACGUCAUUCGUCACACAGUGAACUGUGGAUGCUGAAGACAGAUGGACCACCAGAUGGACCCUGGGAAGGAUUGGUUAAAAUGUCAGUGAUAAGCUAACAAAAUGAAACACAGUAGACUGAAGAGACUAUUCAGCUGAA